rnacentral:rRNA from 1 species
AUUGAACGCUGGCGGCAGGCCUAACACAUGCAAGUCGAACGAGUGGCGGACGGGUGAGCAAUGCUUGGGAAUCUAGCUUAUGGAGGGGGUUAACUACGGGAAACUGUAGCUAACACCGCUUACCAUACGAUGAGCCCAAGUGGGAUUAGGUAGUUGGUGGGGUAAAGGCUCACCAAGCCGACGAUCUCUAGUUGGUCUGAGAGGAUGACCAGCCACACUGGAACUGAGACACGGUCCAGACUCCUACGGGAGGCAGCAGUGGGGAAUAUUGCGCAAUGGGGGAAAGCUGACGCAGCCAUGCCGCGUGAGUGAAGAAGGCCUUCGGGUUGUAAAGUUCUUUCAGUAGGGAGGCGUUACCUACAGAAGAAGCACCGGCUAACUCCGUGCCAGCAGCCGCGGUAAUUC